GACGAACGCUGGCGGCGUGCCUAACACAUGCAAGUCGAACGAGAUCCAUGGGAGCUUGCUCCCGGAAGAUCUAGUGGCGAACGGGUGAGUAACACGUGAGAAACCUGCCCUGGAGUGGGGAAUAACUCGGGGAAACUCGAGCUAAUACCGCAUACCCUCGGAUGGUCGCAUGGCCGACCGAGGAAAGAUUUAUCGCUCUAGGAGGGUCUCGCGGCCUAUCAGCUAGUUGGUGGGGUAACGGCCUACCAAGGCAACGACGGGUAGCUGGUUUGAGAGAACGAUCAGCCACACUGGGACUGAGACACGGCCCAGACUCCUGCGGGAGGCAGCAGUGGGGAAUCUUGCGCAAUGGGCGAAAGCCUGACGCAGCAACGCCGCGUGCGGGAUGACGGCCUUCGUGGUUGUAACCGACUUCUAGCAGGGACGGAAAAUAGACGGUACC
rnacentral:rRNA from 1 species